rnacentral:tRNA from 1 species
GCCGGUGUAGCUCAGGGGUAGAGCAACUGAUUCGUAAUCAGUAGGUCACAGGUUCAAAUCCAGUCACCGGCU